rnacentral:misc_RNA from 1 species
AAAACUCGAUAUCCAGUUUUUUGUGCAUGGCAAAAUAAGGUUAAUCAUUUAUAAUUUGUUCUAUUCCUUGAAUACAACUUGACAUGAAAUUGCAUUUGCAUUUUCUUAACAAAGUGGCCACACUGGAGAGAAUAAGGCUCUAACAACCUACUGGUAUGCUACUACAGAAUUGUUAUCAAGGACAUAUAUAUUGAAAAAAGAUUUAUCGAUUGUCAGGGUAGAACUUGACCUGGAAAACUCUCCAUACAUGUGACAAACCAUUCUUGAGGAAAGCACCUUAUUGUGUUUCCUCGAUGCAAUGUUUUUAAGGAGCCUUAGACCAACUUGUCACUUGUGCAAGAUAAAUUGUUCCAGAAAACAGUCAACAUGGUUGUCUCUAAGUCAUGCAGCUAGAAUCAGAAGAAUGUGUUCUGGUCAAAAACUGCAGACCCAUAGUCAACAAAACAAUACAAAGUUCUCCUACAAACCGCUCUGUUGCUUCAGUACAACAAACCCUGUUUGUAAGGAAAGGGGACGAAAACCAGGUCGUGAUGAAAAUGAAGAAUCGAUAAUAAACAAGCUGGCAGAAAGUCAGGAUGAGGAAGCUGAUGCUCUACAUGAGACUGAUGAAUAUAAGCAGGUUUUACAAGAAGAGUUCCAUUAUGAUGGGGUUCACCACUCACUAAUGAUCAUACAUCCAGCCAUUAGAUGGGAAAAAGAUAAACCUCGCUCCACGACCCCCGAACUACAGCUCAGUGAAGCGUGUGCAUUGGUUCAUUCACUUCCACAGUGGAGAGUGGCAGAUACAAAAAUCAUAAAAGUCAAGAGUCAUGGAGGAUUUAUUUUCAUGAAGGGACAGCUUAAAGAACUGACAGAUCUUGUCAAAUCUCAUAAAAAUAUUUCUGCAGUAUUCGUCAAUGUAGACAUUCUAAAAAUCAAUCAGGUGGCUAUGCUACAAGGAGCUUGGCAAUUACCAGUUUUUGACAGGUAUACUCUUGUUCUUCACAUAUUCAGAGAGUACGCACAUACACGAGAGGCUAAAUUACAAAUUGCUUUAGCAGAAAUUCCAUAUAUCAGAGGGCGAUUGGAACAAAUCAAUGAAGGCCAGCAUGAUCAUGUGACAGGAAAGAUGCACUACGUUGUGUCAGGAGGGUUCCGUUUUACAUACAUUCAAAAACGACAUGCACUGGUAGCAGAAAGAGAAAGAAGACUCAGAGGAGAACUAGAGAAAGUGAGACAACAGAGGGAGGUGUUGAGACAGAACAGAAUCAAUCAGCAGUACCCCACUGUAGCUGUAGUUGGCUACACUAAUUGUGGAAAGACAACUCUUAUCAAAGCACUGACAGAGGAUGAGUCUUUGACCCCUGAGAAUAGACUUUUUGCUACAUUAGAUGUCACAGUUCAUCAAGCCUUUUUGAAGAACAUGAAAGUUCUUCUUAUUGACACUGUUGGUUUUAUCUCAGACAUUCCCAAGACUCUUAUGGAAGCUUUUUCUGCCACUCUAGAGGAUGCUUUGAUAGCAGUAAGCCAUAUGUACCCAAUAUUAGAGAAGUCAGAUCAAUACAAUUUGUAAGGUGCCAUUGGAUCUCUUUUGCAUUAAAAGAAGUAUUUUCCCUCUGAUACAUGUACACAUGUACUUAAUAUCUUUCUUCACAUUCAUUACGGAUGUAGUUCUUCAUGUCAGGGACUUAAGUCAUCCUGAUUAUAGGAAUCAAGAUGAAAAUGUUGUUGAUAUUUUGGGGAAACUGCUCUCUGAAGAAAAGUUACAAAACAUGUUGGUUGUCAACAAUAAAUGUGAUCUUUUAAGUGAUGAUGAAAAAAGCUCUGACGGUCUCAAUAUAUCAGCAGUAACUGGCUCUGGAUUAGAUGAACUGAAGACACGGCUGGAAGAAGCCAUUAUAAAGAGUACAGGAAGAAUGAGGAAAGUCUUUAGAAUACCAGUCGGAGGGGAUCAUUUAAGUUGGCUGUACAAAAAUUCCACAGUGUUGUCAAUAACAGAUGGUGAAAAUGGAGAUUCUUAUUUAGUGGAGACUAUUAUCAAUACAGCUGCUUAUGGAAAAUUUAAACAUUUGUUUUCUACAAAUAAAAGGAAACCCUGAGGCUGAAGUGAAAUUGUAUUGUAUGCAACAUUCUAUAAAUAUCUAUAGUGCCAAACACAAAAUACAUGUAAAAUUUAAAAAUCUGUAUUUUUUUUAAAUUAAAGACAUGAUUCAG